AGUGAACGCUGGCGGUAGGCCUAACACAUGCAAGUCGAACGGCAGCACAGUAAGAGCUUGCUCUUACGGGUGGCGAGUGGCGGACGGAUGAGGAAUACAUCGGAAUCUACUUUUUCGUGGGGGAUAACGUAGGGAAACUUACGCUAAUACCGCAUACGACCUACGGGUGAAAGCAGGGGAUCUUCGGACCUUGCGCGAUUGAAUGAGCCGAUGUCGGAUUAGCUAGUUGGCGGGGUAAAGGCCCACCAAGGCGACGAUCCGUAGCUGGUCUGAGAGGAUGAUCAGCCACACUGGAACUGAGACACGGUCCAGACUCCUACGGGAGGCAGCAGUGGGGAAUAUUGGACAGUGGGCGCAAGCCUGAUCCAGCCAUACCGCGUGGGUGAAGAAGGCCUUCGGGUUGUAAAGCCCUUUUGUUGGGAAAGAAAAGCAGCAGGUUAAUACCCCGCUGUUCUGACGGUACCCAAAGAAUAAGCACCGGCUAACUUCGUG
rnacentral:rRNA from 1 species